GCACAACUUUCUUGGGAGCCCAAUCAAUCCUGUUCUGCUUCAUCUCUCUCCCACCGCCAUGCCAUCUUCCUCCUCCCUGCUCUGCCUCGAGUGCUCCGUGUGCAGGCCCGACCGCUCGAGUUCGCCGUUGGGCCUGGCACACAUGGGGGCACCGUGCCGAAGCCGAGGGCCACACGCACUGAUCGCGCCGGAGACGACCUGUGAAUCGGCGUGCUCGCAGCCAUGCCUUCUCGCUGUCUGUCACCACCGCGCACAAGAUGCUUGAUGAAAUGGUCAAAAGAGAAUACCAAGGGGCAGCGGUCCUUGUUCUUGCAUAUUUGCAUAUAUCUGACUGUUCGGUUGCCCACAAGAUGCUUGAGAAAAUUCCCAUACGUGAUUAGCAUGCGAGUGCAUGUUGUAGUUGCUCAUAUAUUUCAUAUCAACUAUGCUACUUCUACUCACAUAAUUCAAUGAUUGUAGGAACAAUUGUAGUACAAGAUUAUUUGGUUUGCUUUUAUGUGAAGAACUACAUCUUACCCUUCCUUCUUCUAAUCGUACCUUCGUAAUACUUCUCCCUGGUUUAAUCUUUCUCUCACUGAGAUCAUUGUUUGUUAGUACUUUGGUAAAACCGCAGAACCUAGAUGGAAGGAAAGGCACCGCAAAGAAGUUGAGGCACAAGAAUCACACUCACUGGUGGAGCAGCUAUCACCUGAAUGUUGUAGAUAACAUUUCAUUUGAUCCAAUUCUUCAGUGCUCAUUAAGUCCAGUCCUGCUGAGGAUACUAACCAUGGAGCACUGGAGCCAAAACCAAACCAGAAGACUGCCCAGGUUAAAGAAGACCAAGCACUUGGCAAGGUACUAUACUAUGUAUCUUGAUGCUGCCUCUCCAGGCCUCUGAUAAAGCUUUACUUGGAAGGGUAACGAUCGAUGACUGCUUUUGCUGACGGGCUCAAUGCUGCUGCCUGAACUGCUAUCAUGGUAAUGAUGGCCAAACAGUUAUGCUACUUAUUUGUCAUGCCUUCGACAAGCUCUAUAAAUAUGAGCAGAGAAUAACUUCAUGUUGGUCGAAAGACGUGCACCUGGUAUCUGCCCGUUGAUGCGCCUCAUCGCACAUAAUUUCUUAAUAUUUGGUAGCUUGUGCCAUUUCCCAUGAUUUAUGUGCCUGUAGCUAAAUUUGUAUGAGCUACCUGCCUACCUGAUCUAUGCAUGGUAGCUUAGUUAUUUCUAUCUCCCGGCCACGCUGCUCUUGAUGUAAACAUACAGUGGCUUAAUCACUAGAGUACAACAGAUGGUGCCCUCUUA